GGAGGAUCCAAGCGUUAUCCGGAAUCAUUGGGUUUAAAGGGUCCGUAGGCGGUCUUAUAAGUCAGUGGUGAAAGCCCAUCGCUCAACGAUGGAACUGCCAUUGAUACUGUAAGACUUGAAUUUUUGUGAAGUAACUAGAAUAUGUAGUGUAGCGGUGAAAUGCUUAGAUAUUACAUGGAAUACCAAUUGCGAAGGCAGGUUACUAACAAACGAUUGACGCUGAUGGACGAAAGCGUCGGCAGCGUCAGAUG
rnacentral:rRNA from 1 species